rnacentral:rRNA from 1 species
AUUGAACGCUGGCGGUAGGCCUAACACAUGCAAGUCGAACGGCAGCACAGUAAGAGCUUGCUCGUACGGGUGGCGAGUGGCGGACGGGUUAGGAAUACAUCGGAAUCUACUUUUUCGUGGGGGAGAACGUAGGGAAACUUACGCUAAUACCGCAUACGACCUACGGGUGAAAGCAGGGGAUCUUCGGACCUUGCGCGAUUGAAUGAGCCGAUGUCGGAUUAGCUAGUUGGCGGGGUAAAGGCCCACCAAGGCGACGAUCCGUAGCUGGUCUGAGAGGAUGAUCAGCCACACUGGAACUGAGACACGGUCCAGACUCCUACGGGAGGCAGCAGUGGGGAAUAUUGGACAAAGGGCGCAAGCCUGAUCCAGCCAUACCGCGUGGGUGAAGAAGGCCUUCGGGUUGUAAAGCCCUUUUGUUGGGAAAGAAAAGCAGCAGGUUAAUACCCCGCUGUUCUGACGGUACCCAAAGAAUAAGCACCGGCUAACUUCGUG